rnacentral:lncRNA from 1 species
UUUUAAAAUGCAUAGCAAAAAUGAUGUGAGAUUCUAAUAAAUGUGACAUUCAGAUUUUUGCUCUUUACCUUACAGUGAACAAAAUACAAUACUAUAUAUAUAUAUAUAUAUAGCUAGAUUGAGUAUCAGCGCUGAUGCUGCAGCUCUCGUCGGGUGCAGUGGCGCGCGCCUGUAAUCCAAGCUGCUGGGAGACUGAGGCUGGUGGAUCGCUUGAGUUCAGGGGUUCUGGGCUGCAGUGGACUAUGUUGAUCAGGUGUCCACACUAAGUUCGGUAUCGAUAUGGUGCUCCUGGGGGAGCUCGGGAGCACCAUAUCGAUACCGAACUUAGUGUGGACACCUGAUCAACAUAGUCCACUGCAGCCCAGAACCCCUGAACUCAAGCGAUCCGCCAGCCUCAGUCUCCCAGCAGCUUGGAUUACAGGCGCGCGCCACUGCACCCGACGAGAGCUGCAGCAUCAGCGCUGAUACUCAAUCUAGAGAUCACUGACUAGGACUACGCUAUGCUGCAAAUCAACACUGAGGUUUAGACAAAUCGUAUAAAAUCGUACGAGUGAGGUCGUACAAAUUGGUACUAAUUAGCCACCUCGUAAAAAACGUACGAAUUGUUUGUGAGAUAGCGUUACAUUCUUGCUUGCAGCUCUCGUCGGGUGCAGUGGCGCGUGCCUGUAAUCCAAGCUGCUGGGAGACUGAGGCUGGCGGAUCGCUUGAGUUCAGGGGUUCUGGGCUGCAGUGGACUAUGUUGAUCAGGUGUCCACACUAAGUUCGGUAUCGAUAUGGUGCUCCUGGGGGAGCUUGGGACCACCAGGUCGUCUAAGGAGGGGUGAACCGGCCCAGGUCAGAGAUGGAGCAGGUCAAAGCCCCCGUGUCGAUCAGUAGUGGGAUCGCGCCUGUGAAUAGACACUUCAGUGCAGCCUGAGCGAUACAGAGAGACCCAGACUUUUGGGCUUGUUCCUGCAGAUGGACAGUUCAAUGAUAAUCAAAUAGUUUUGCUCUUACUUGUCAACUUAAGAUUUUGUAGCAUUUUACAAAUUUGUAAACUGUUUUAAACUUUUUAUCUUUUCAGCAAUGAUAUUUGCGGCGUUGCACUUGUUUUUAAUUGAAGAGGCGCUCCGUAUUUCAUGACAAAUGACUGGUACUAUAUCUUAAAUGACUGGUAGCCUACUAUAUCGUCUCUCUGUGGAAGUGAUAUUUCUCUUCA